GAUGAUGAUGAUGAUGAUGAGGAUUAGAAAACAGUAUCUUGAAGAGUUCUAUCCGAGUAGCUGCUGUUAAAUUGUUGGUGGAGGUUGAGUAUAAUAAUAUAUUGAUAGCCUCCAGAAGGUAUCACCUUGUGUUUGUUGUUUUACAAAUCUGUUAGGCAAGGAAGUUGGUAGCUUCAUUUGUGCAUUUGCAUGUGUUGUGUUGUGGUGAACAUUGCAAUGUGGUAAUUGUUUUCAGUGGCAUGUCCCUGUUUUGCCAAUAGACUUUGAGCCUCCUUUCGAACUCGGAUACCUAUCUUUUGGUUGGUUGUGUAUUUUAUUCUUCAGAUUUCGGUUUAUGUUGUAUCUAUUUAGCAUAUGAUAUUUUGAGUACUAAACCAUUUGUGUUAAAA
rnacentral:misc_RNA from 1 species